rnacentral:misc_RNA from 1 species
AAGUCGUAACAAGGUUUCCGUAGGUGAACCUGCGGAAGGAUCAUUAUUGAAUUAGCGAGGGCUGUCUGCUGGCCCCUUCGGGGCAUGUGCACGUCCGAGCCGUUUAAAUCAACACCUGUGAACUCACCGUAGGCCUUCGGGCUUAUGUAUCAUAAUAUACUCAGAUCAUAGAAUGUAUGUUUUGCCUUUAAAAAAGCAAUCAAAUACAACUUUCAACAACGGAUCUCUUGGCUCUC